AAAAACAAAAAAAAACAGCAUUCGUGGAUACCUAUAUACACCCCCCAUUACAAAAAUGAAGACGGGAAGGAUUAAGGCCCAAGAAGCAAACAACACAGCCGACCCAAACCAUUUCCAAAGAAAUGGUGGGCGCCAUGACGUAAUGGUCAGAUUUACCUUUUCCACUAUUUAUACCUUCUUCAACCUUUCCAAAUCUAUUCUCUUCUUCUCCAAACUCCACUAAAUUCAUAAAAAUUUCCAAUCUUCUCACUUUCACUACAAACCAAC
rnacentral:lncRNA from 1 species